rnacentral:rRNA from 1 species
AUACGGAGGAUCCGAGCGUUAUCCGGAUUUAUUGGGUUUAAAGGGUGCGCAGGCGGCCAUUUAAGUCAGCGGUUAAAUCGUGGGGCUCAACCCCAUUCUGCCGUUGAUACUGGGUGGCUUGAUUGCGGUCGAGGUUGGCGGAAUUCGUUGUGUAGCGGUGAAAUGCAUAGAUAUGACGAAGAACACCGAUUGCGUAGGCAGCUGACCAGAUCGCAAAUGACGCUCAUGCACGAAAGUGCGGGGAUCGAACAGGAUUAGAUACCCUGGUAGUCCGCACAGUAAACGAUGAAUACUUGUUUUCGGCGAUAUAAUGUCGGAGGCGAAGCGAAAGCGAUAAGUAUUCCACCUGGGGAGUACGCCGGCAACGGUGAAACUCAAAUGAAUUGACGGGG